CAGUCGCCACGGUAAUACGUAGGUGGCAAGCGUUAUCCGGAAUUAUUGGGCGUAAAGCGCGCGUAGGCGGUUUUUUAAGUCUGAUGUGAAAGCCCACGGCUCAACCGUGGAGGGUCAUUGGAAACUGGAAAACUUGAGUGCAGAAGAGGAAAGUGGAAUUCCAUGUGUAGCGGUGAAAUGCGCAGAGAUAUGGAGGAACACCAGUGGCGAAGGCGACUUUCUGGUCUGUAACUGACGCUGAUGUGCGAAAGCGUGGGGAUCAAACAGGAUUAGAUACCCCCGUAGUCCCUGUCUCUUAUAC
rnacentral:rRNA from 1 species